rnacentral:lncRNA from 13 species
CCGGUGCAGCACGUGGACACGGAACCUCCAGGGAAUCAGGGGUCGGCUCCAGGAGGCACUUUAUUUUUUCAGAGAAAGCAGAUCUUCGUUAGGUUAUGACUGCAACCCCGUCUAGAUGCCCCUUGGGUGUGACCAGACCCUCUUUGCUUUGAGGCAAAUGUCUCAGAAAAGAUCCUGCACGGUUACUAUUUUGAAGAUGAAGAAAUUGAGACUCAGAGAAGCUAAGUAGACCUGCCGGUAGGAGGUGAGACUCCUUCCACAUCCAUGGGCUGAUUUUAUACAGUAGGUGAGUAGAGCAUUGGCUCAGGGGUUGGGUGCCUGGCUGUGUGAACACAUGUACGGAUGAAUGGAUAGAAGACGAGAUGACUGAAUUGACGGUCCUGUCCAUGGCAACAUGGAAAAACAGCUUUAUUGGUGAAUGGAUGGGUGGAAGCAGGGAUAGAUGGAUGCAGGGAUGAGUGACCAGUUUGUAGAGUGGGAAAGGUAAUGAAUAAAGUAGGGGUAUAACUCUGAAUCA